GGCUGGUGCAGUCCUGGAGACCCACGGAGCUCACGGUCGUCAGGGGUCCUCAAGGAUUCAGAGAACCCCCAAAUGUCAGGGCUGCUCCCUUCUUGUCCUGCCUCUCUGCUCACACCCUUGGACAGGUAAGAAAACUGAGGUCCACAGAGGGCAGGGUGCAUUGCUGUGGCUUUUGUUCUGAGCACUGUCUCCCCAGCUUUGGGGUUGAGACUCUGGGGUCAAGACCCACCUCUGAUGAACGAGCGGCUUCCUUCUUUGUAAAAAUUGAGGCGACCCAGACCAAGAAGGGCUGCAAAAUCACCAAGCCAGGACCUCAAUACCCAAGGGGCUGGGGUUUCGGCCACCCUGUGGCAGAGCUUUUAGAAGCCAGGGCCCUUGGCUCGGCAGUGCUGGCUCAUAGUAGGUGCUUAGUUCAUGCCUGUCUCCUUGGAUGAAAUCUGACCAUAGACACCAGUGCAAAGCAGGUGUUCAACACAGGAGGGUGUACUGAACCCGAUCUCUCUAUCACCAGGAGGAAGCACACGGGAGGCACUCAGAGAACGUUUGUGGAAUGAAUAAAUAAAAGCAUAUUUUGAGGGAAUAAAGAAGCAGAAAAACAAAGAAGAAUCUGGGGAAGAUGGGCAUAAAUCUCCACCAAGUGCUGCCAAGGCUUCCCAGGCGAGGCUGCUGAAAAGACCCUGUGGAGGGGAGCGGCAGGACCUGCCAAGGCCUGGGGGAGCCCGCCAGCCUGCUGAGUUCUACUGUACAAACAGUUGGGGAGGGGGCGCUGUCUCUGUUAACUUGAAAUUCCCCGAUCAGUAAACAUGCCAAUUUAAAGUGUAAUUAACUCAGGCCGGAAAAAAUUCAGAUUUGGACUGCUUUUCACAGUUGAGGUUGUUUUUCUUUUAUUUAUUUAUCUCUUUCCGGGUG
rnacentral:lncRNA from 1 species